AACGAACGCUGGCGGCAUGCCUAACACAUGCAAGUCGAACGAGACCUUCGGGUCUAGUGGCGCACGGGUGCGUAACGCGUGGGAACCUGCCCUUAGGUUCGGAAUAACUCACCGAAAGGGGUGCUAAUACCGGAUAAUGUCUUCGGACCAAAGAUUUAUCGCCUUUGGAUGGGCCCGCGUUGGAUUAGCUAGUUGGUAGGGUAAAAGCCUACCAAGGCGACGAUCCAUAGCUGGUCUGAGAGGAUGAUCAGCCACACUGGGACUGAGACACGGCCCAGACUCCUACGGGAGGCAGCAGUGGGGAAUAUUGGGCAAUGGGCGAAAGCCUGAUCCAGCAAUGCCGCGUGAGUGAUGAAGGCCUUAGGGUUGUAAAGCUCUUUUACCCGGGAUGAUAAUGACAGUACCGGGAGAAUAAGCUCCGGCUAACUCCGUG
rnacentral:rRNA from 1 species